CCACACGACUCUCGGCAACGGAUAUCUCGGCUCUCGCAUCGAUGAAGAACGUAGCAAAAUGCGAUACCUGGUGUGAAUUGCAGAAUCCCGCGAACCAUCGAGUUUUUGAACGCAAGUUGCGCCCGAGGCCUUCUGGUCGAGGGCACGUCUGCCUGGGCGUCACGC
rnacentral:rRNA from 4 species